rnacentral:tRNA from 1 species
GCUGUGUAGCUCAGUGGUAAAGUAUGUGUGCUUAGUAUGCAGGAGGUCAUAGGCUCAAUCCCUAGCAUGCA